rnacentral:rRNA from 1 species
UACGUAGGGGGCAAGCGUUGUCCGGAAUUAUUGGGCGUAAAGAGCUCGUAGGCGGUCUGUCGCGUCGAUCGUGAAAACUUGGGGCUUAACCCUGAGCUUGCGGUCGAUACGGGCAUGACUGGAGUUCGGCAGGGGAGACUGGAAUUCCUGGUGUAGCGGUGAAAUGCGCAGAUAUCAGGAGGAACACCGGUGGCGAAGGCGGGUCUCUGGGCCGAUACUGACGCUGAGGAGCGAAAGCGUGGGGAGCAAACAGG